AGCUCUUUCAACCACAUUUCUCAGCCUCUGAAAUGCAGCAACUGCCCUGGAAGACUCGAGGUGACUGUGCAAGGAGGAGCUGCAGACGGCGUGCCUUGUGGGUCUGGAGGCAGGACUGGAGCCCCAGAGCAGGGUACAGAUGCCUAGUCCACCCCCAGAGGAAAGAAGAGAAAAGAAGAAAACAAAGCCUCUUGGUCCCGCUUCGGCCCUGCUCUGUACCGUCCUCACGGGGUUACUUAGCCCUCGGCGAGGAAGCAGACGCCCACCGUACGCACAUCUGGGUCUACCCGCCUCCCGUGAAGCAAGCCCUUUCUCUGUUCCUGGUCUGAUUUCUGCAGCCUCAGUCAGACCCAGGGCACCUGCUCGGGAAUCUAGAAGACAGAGGAUGGAUAAACAAGCAGCUACUGUCGAGCACGGGGAAUCAUAGCCAACAUCCUGUAAUAAGCCUUAAUGGAAAAGAAUAAACAAAGGAA